AUGAACGCUAGCUACAGGCUUAACACAUGCAAGUCGAGGGGCAGCAUGAACUUAGCUUGCUAAGUUUGAUGGCGACCGGCGCACGGGUGAGUAACACGUAUCCAACCUGCCGAUGACUCGGGGAUAGCCUUUCGAAAGAAAGAUUAAUACCCGAUGGCAUAGUUCUUCCGCAUGGUAGAACUAUUAAAGAAUUUCGGUCAUCGAUGGGGAUGCGUUCCAUUAGGUUGUUGGCGGGGUAACGGCCCACCAAGCCUUCGAUGGAUAGGGGUUCUGAGAGGAAGGUCCCCCACAUUGGAACUGAGACACGGUCCAAACUCCUACGGGAGGCAGCAGUGAGGAAUAUUGGUCAAUGGACGAGAGUCUGAACCAGCCAAGUAGCGUGAAGGAUGACUGCCCUAUGGGUUGUAAACUUCUUUUAUACGGGAAUAAAGUGAGGCACGUGUGCCUUUUUGUAUGUACCGUAUGAAUAAGGAUCGGCUAACUCCGUGCCAGCAGCCGCGGUAAUACGGAGGAUCCGAGCGUUAUCCGGAUUUAUUGGGUUUAAAGGGAGCGUAGGCGGACGCUUAAGUCAGUUGUGAAAGUUUGCGGCUCAACCGUAAAAUUGCAGUUGAUACUGGGUGUCUUGAGUACAGUAGAGGCAGGCGGAAUUCGUGGUGUAGCGGUGAAAUGCUUAGAUAUCACGAAGAACUCCGAUUGCGAAGGCAGCCUGCUGGACUGUAACUGACGCUGAUGCUCGAAAGUGUGGGUAUCAAACAGGAUUAGAUACCCUGGUAGUCCACACAGUAAACGAUGAAUACUCGCUGUUUGCGAUAUACAGUAAGCGGCCAAGCGAAAGCGUUAAGUAUUCCACCUGGGGAGUACGCCGGCAACGGUGAAACUCAAAGGAAUUGACGGGGGCCCGCACAAGCGGAGGAACAUGUGGUUUAAUUCGAUGAUACGCGAGGAACCUUACCCGGGCUUGAAUUGCGACUGAAUGAUGUGGAGACAUGUCAGCCGCAAGGCAGUUGUGAAGGUGCUGCAUGGUUGUCGUCAGCUCGUGUCGUGAGAUGUUGGGUUAAGUCCCGCAACGAGCGCAACCCUUAUCCUUAGUAGCCAGCAGGUAGAGCUGGGCACUCUAGGGAGACUGCCAGGGAUAACCUGGAGGAAGGUGGGGAUGACGUCAAAUCAGCACGGCCCUUACGUCCGGGGCUACACACGUGUUACAAUGGGGGGUACAGAAGGCAGCUACACGGCGACGUGAUGCUAAUCCCGAAAGCCUCUCUCAGUUCGGAUUGGAGUCUGCAACCCGACUCCAUGAAGCUGGAUUCGCUAGUAAUCGCGCAUCAGCCACGGCGCGGUGAAUACGUUCCCGGGCCUUGUACACACCGCCCGUCACACCAUGAGAGUUUGUAACACCCAAAGCCGGUGGGGUAACCGCAAGGAGCCAGCCGUCUAAGGUGGGACAGAUGAUUGGGGUG
rnacentral:rRNA from 1 species